rnacentral:rRNA from 1 species
UACGGAGGGAGCUAGCGUUGUUCGGAAUUACUGGGCGUAAAGCGCACGUAGGCGGCUAUUCAAGUCAGAGGUGAAAGCCCGGGGCUCAACCCCGGAACUGCCUUUGAAACUAGGUAGCUAGAAUCUUGGAGAGGUCAGUGGAAUUCCGAGUGUAGAGGUGAAAUUCGUAGAUAUUCGGAAGAACACCGGUGGCGAAGGCGGCCUGCUGGGACAGUGCUGACGCUGAGGCGCGACAGCGUGGGGAGCAAACAGG